rnacentral:rRNA from 1 species
CGAUUAGAGUUUGAUUAUGGCUCAGAACAAACGCCAGCGGCGUGCCUAACACAUGCAAGUCGAACGAGAAAUCCUGAGCAAUCGGGAGAGUAAAGUGGCGCACGGGUGAGUAACGCGUGGGUAAUCUGCCCUGGAGAUGGGAAUAACACCUCGAAAGGGGUGCUAAUACUCGAUAAGAUCCCGGAGGCUCCGGUCUUCGGGAUAAAAAGGUGGCCUCUGCUUGCAAGCUAUCGCUCCAGGAUGAGCCCGCGUACCAUUAGCUAGUUGGUGGGGUAAUGGCCCACCAAGGCAAUGAUGGUUAGCUGGUCUGAGAGGAUGGCCAGCCACACUGGAAUUGAGAUACGGUCCAGACUCCUACGGGAGGCAGCAGUGAGGAAUCUUGCGCAAUGGGGGAAACCCUGACACAGCAACGCCGCGUGGGUGAUGAAGGCCUUCGGGUCGUAAAACUCUGUCAGAUGGGAAGAAUGUUCCAGCGGUGAAUAAUCGUUGGAAUCGACGGUACCGUCAGAGGAAGCACCGGCUAACUCCGUGCCAGCAGCCGCGGUAAUACGGAGGGUGCAAGCGUUGUUCGGAAUUAUUGGGCGUAAAGAGCGUGUAGGCGGCCUUGUAAGUCAGAUGUGAAAUACCUUGGCUCAACCAAGGAAGGGCAUUUGAAACUGCUUGGCUUGAGUACGGGAGGGGGAAGCGGAAUUCCCGGUGUAGAGGUGAAAUUCGUAGAUAUCGGGAGGAACACCGGUGGCGAAGGCGGCUUCCUGGACCGAUACUGACGCUGAGACGCGAAAGCGUGGGGAGCAAACAGGAUUAGAUACCCUGGUAGUCCACGCCCUAAACGUUGGGCACUAGGUGUUGCGGGUAAAUCACUAG